UCCGAAGAAUCAAUGAACUUUUGCCAUUUAAUUAUUUGCAAUCAUUUUUGUGCACAUCUUGAAUGAGUGGCAUAUACCCGGCGUAUAAAUACAUUCCUCCUGAACUAUUUAAAUGUGAUUUGAACUCCCAAAUAAAGAAAAUUACGGCAUCAUCUUCCACGCAAAACAGGCCAAAACGAAGCAAAAAAUUAGCUUGGGAAGAUUCUAGUGAUUUAAAGCAUCAUACUCAAAAUAUGGAUAGCAAGUGCAAGUGGUAGUCCUUGAGCCCUUUUUUGAUCCCUGAACCCAAAUUAGUCUUCUUAUUACCCUUUAGUUUCUUGAGAUUGCAGUGCUUCAUUUUUUUCUUCUUUUGUCACGUGCGUCAAAAGUCUCCAAUUUACUAACUGCUGCUAGAAGUACCAACCUUUCGUGUUACAGCUUCCUUGUAUGAUUGUUUUCGCUUCUCUUUUUUAUUUAUUUAUUUGGCACUAUGAAAACUGGAGAAAAUGCACCUAGUUAAUAAAGCAAUUUAUGCACAUAAAACCCUAUUAUAACUUCUUGCAGCAUGGCAAGAAAGAAGAAUAUUGAAGGAACCUUUUAAUCCAGGUUGAGAUUGGGCAUUAGCAAUAGCCUGUAAGAAGAGUAAGAUCUGCCUAGAAAGUAACAACACAUGCAUAUUAACAGCUCCUUAGACGAGUGUACAAGCAAGAAAACAAGAGGGGCAGUCCCAUUGCUGAAAUGACUGAAAAGGAGAAAUAUAGUCUGAUGGUGGUAUUAAAGAAGCUGAGCUUGUAAGAAACUACUACUAAAUGACGGCAUGAACAUGUCUAAAAUGAAAGCUAUUUAUUUAGUCCAUCAAAUUUUGAAUGUUAAAAGACAAACCGCAAACACACUGAAGGGUUCACCAUUUGGAAAGAUGUGAUUGAUAACGACACAGCAAUUCAGCCUGGGGGCCCCUGGGCUUCUGGGUGUAUUUUACCAGAUAACAAAAAAUUAUUGCCCAUGUCAUGAUGACAACCCGCCUAACCCUGGGAAGUUCCACAAGCAAGAGGAAAUAGAUUCCUUCAGAAAUUUUAAAAGCAUCACAUACUCAUUUGUAGGAUUGCUUUCAAUUAUUGUCAACUCUAUACCGAAUGUAAAAUUCAAGACAAUUCUUUUUAAGAGCGUGCUUGGAAAUGUGGGAGCAGAGUUGUAUUAUCAAAAGGCAUUUUGAAUUUAAGUUGGGCUUAAUAAAGCAUAUCUCAAUUGGCGUCGGGGUCAUGAUUCCACCCAUCUUUUUCCAUCGUGUAUUAGAUUUAUCUAUUGCUCUCGGAAGUUAUGCCAAGCAAACUUUAUUCUGCUGGCAUUUCUGGACAACUGCAGGACCCCCCCCCCCCAAAAAAAAAUUCAUUUUGAUGUUGAAAAUGUUGCCAACUAACAUUAUUCUUACAUGUGUUAUCCUUCACAUUAUUUCUGGGCCAGACAGGGUUUUGGCCCUAUUUCGGAUAUGUCUAUGAUAUAUUCAACAACUCUGGCUUUAUGAUAACGAACUUGAUGGUGGAAAUUCACCACGACUUGUGUCCACAUGAAUAUGAACGUACGUGUUUACCUUAGCUGGAUUCACAUGUAUCACAUUUUCUGCCUUAUCUGAUACACCUCUUGCUUUGCGUUCAAGGUGUUGCAUUUAAAAAUAUUGUAUCAAUUCACAAAAUGAAUAUAUAUAUAUAUAUUGCACAGUUUUGUUUUGGGUUGAAAUUACAUUUGAAGUUCUAAACAGUGAACUGGAAACGGAGGGAGCGCUGAAAUCUGAACUCUGGGUUCUAUUAAUAACAAGAAUACUCAUGCCAUUAGAGCAGAAUUAAAUAGAAAGGCCAUACCGUUUCUCAUUCAUAUAUAUAUAUAUAUUCAUAUAAAUAUAAAGAGAGUACCUUGAACGAAAAAAAAAAAUUGAAUAGGUCAGAUUCUUUUGGGGCUAAUUGGAGAAUAUUGUUUGGAGCCAAAGGAAAAACAUGUGAGGUGACUGUUAAAAAAGCAUGGGACAAUGUUCUCUGAUUCCUCAUGAGUAGGCAACUUUACUCGGUGAAAGAAUUCGAAUUUGCUUUUUAUAUAUGUUACAUCUAGAAUAUGCUUAUGGGCAUGUCGUCAAGAGUAGGCUGCGAUGGCGCACGGCAAUUGCACAGAAGAGUGGGUUGUUACACUUUUCUUUCCCCUCCUUUUUACAUAUACGCUUAAAUACCUUUAAACGAUCUUUCUGUUUUUAAGCUUACAAUUCAAGGUUGGAAUAUUGCUCCAUAUGACAACAUAUUAGUGAUGGAUCUCCAUCUCUAUUUUUCCCUCUACCUUAGUGCCUAUCAAAAGAGGCAUCCUUUACUUGAGAGCUGAGAAUAAACGCAAGGGCUUGGUCAAGAUUUUUGGCUUUGCUACCUAACAUCAAACAUGACAAAUUAGGUAUUGACAAAGAAAUUACAAAAGCGGGUCGGGUCCCUAUGUUUGAAGGAAAACUGUUGAAGGUGAGCAGAGGAACCUGCAGAGAUUGGGGUUGACCAGACUAUCAAUAGCGUUCUGUUCUUCGAUUAAUAAAACAGAAAAUCCUCCGAUGAUUGAAGAUCGGAAGUGGAUGGUGCAAAAACAGUGGGCGAUUGGGAACAACAAUGAACGAUUGAUUGGCAGUUGGUUCAGAUUCCAGGUGGGUGUGACCCAAACUUUCAAAUUUUCUUACUUUUGCUUUGUUUUCUGUCCAAUAAGUUUAUCUUUUGAGUUUUGGGGUUAGUUUAUUAUCUUUAGGACUUAAACUAGAAGUUUCUGCUACUUGAAGCUCUUGCGUGUGUUUAGUUGGGCGGAAAAUCUGUUUCAUCUAUCUCAGAAUUCAUCAUAACAUGUCCUCCCAGAUAGGUCUGGUAUUUAACCUUUGUUGGUUAUCUUGAACAUUUAAAAAACGAAAUAACUAUGGUAUAGGAUUGUAUUUGUGUGAAGCUCAUUAUUUCUAGUGGGUCAGGUCUGUUGGGCGGUGUCAUAUCUUCGUGGAUUGUUUGAAGCCACACUUUGAUUUAAUCCAGCCAUUAAUGUAAAUCAACUUUUGAAUUCUACUAUAAUUCACUGCAAUGUUCACGUGAAAUCUAGCGGCAAUAAAAAGUUCCCCUAAAAAGGCCAUUUGAAAGACGGAGUCAAGUGUAGGUAGGUAGUGAUCCAUGAUUCAAAUCCUCCAGACAUGGAAAAGAAUGCCCUAAAAACUUAAAAAGGUAAGUUGUUUUCACAUUAUAACAAUUAAAUGACCUUUUUUGGUGCAUAAAGACUGGGGUUUUAUGCUUAUACACGUUAACAAGCUUUGAGAUAACAUGGUGUGAACAUAGAUAGCGUGAGCUUAAAAAGUUAAAUGAUGGCAAAGGCUAAAAAGUUGGGCUCAUUUAGUUCUUUCAUUGGGGCCUCAUUGGCACUUGGGCAGAAAGUGGAUGAAAGAUUGGGGGAAUUUCAUUGGGAUUGUAUUAAUUGUCUAUUUCACUUGGGUUUGAUUCUAACUGAAAAUAAGGCACUAUUCCCGCCAACACAAGUCUACGCGUCCUUCUCAGAAGCUACCAGCCCGAGGAAGGAAGCCACCUAAUUCCUAACUUAUUCUUGUGUGUCGGAAGAAGAACGGAAGAUGUAAUAAGUCAGGACAUAGCCGAAACAGGAGUGGGGACCGUGUUGUAAGUGCAUGGAAUUUUAUUCAGUGGAUCUAUUGCUGAUGUAACUGGGAAUCUGAGAUUAUCACAAUACUUGCACAUAGCCUCGUUUGACACUACCCCAAAUAGGACUGGCCAUCAGACAUAAAUAUCAAAAUGAUAGAUUUUAUUGGGAUCUCUCACACUGUCACGGAUUGUACGUUGCCAUCAUAAAGCUGGACUAUCUUUAAUUAAUACAGAUGUAAGUAACAAUUAGCUUUAAUAAUUGAGUGAGACAUGUUCCUAAUCCAAUCAUUUGGCUGCGGAUGAGACAGUCUUCGCGUUAGCUGAUGUAAAGAUAAUAGCAGAGAAAUGGAGAGACAAUAAUUAUGAUGUAAUCUGAGGAUGUACGUGUAGAAAGUUCUGUGGGUCUAUACGUAUAAAU